UACGAAGGGUGCAAGCGUUACUCGGAAUUACUGGGCGUAAAGCGUGCGUAGGUGGUUUGUUAAGUCUGUUGUGAAAGCCCCGGGCUCAACCUGGGAAUGGCAAUGGAUACUGGCAGGCUAGAGUCCGGAAGAGGAGAGUGGAAUUCCCGGUGUAGCGGUGAAAUGCGCAGAUAUCGGGAAGAACACCCGUGGCGAAGGCGGCUCUCUGGGACGGUACUGACGCUGAGACGCGAAAGCGUGGGGAGCGAACAGG
rnacentral:rRNA from 1 species